rnacentral:rRNA from 1 species
UACGAAGGGUGCAAACGUUGCUCGGAAUUAUUGGGCGUAAAGCGCACGUAGGCGGCUUUGCAAGUCGGAUGUGAAAUCCCUCGGCUUAACCAAGGAAGUGCAUCCGAAACUGCAGAGCUUGAGUACUUAAGAGGAUCGCGGAAUUCCCGGUGUAGAGAUGAAAUUCGUAGAUAUCGGGAGGAACACCAGUGGCGAAGGCGGCGAUCUGGGAAGAUACUGACGCUGAGGUGCGAAAGCGUGGGGAGCAAACAGG